AUGCUCUCAGUGACCCUCCUCCUGCUUGGAAUGCCCUUCACUCUGAGAGGAAGCGGAGCGCAGUCAGUGGCCCAGCCUGACCGCCACGUUGCCGUCUGGGAAGGGGACCCUCUGCUGCUGAGGUGCAACUAUACCUAUAGCGGAGCACCUUAUCUCUUUUGGUACGUCCAGUAUCCUGGCCAAGGCCCCCAGUUUCUCCUCAGAUACAUGUCCGGUGCUCCCGUGGUCACAGGCAUCAGAGACUUCAAGGCUGAAUUUAAGAAGAGUGAAACCUCAUUCCACCUGGAGAAAUCGUCAGCCCACUGGAGUGACACAGCCACGUACUACUGUGCUGUGAGUGGCACAGUGCCUGGGGCUGCAGGGGGAGCUGAGCACAAACCUCCCGAGACUUCCUGUGACUGCAGGGCUCCGCUGAUCUGUUUGUAGCAAGGUCUCUCAAGUGAAAAGUGAGCAGGAAUGAAGAGCAGAGACAUGGGAUCUGUUGGACUCCUGAAAAGAAAUAGGGACAUCUGCAAUUCUUUCUUGCACUACUGGGGUCAUGUCAGACAACAUGUAGGAGAGACACUGUCGUGGAUGUUCUCCUUUUGGAUAAAAAUACUGAAUUCUACAGGGUUGGCAUUCUGAUUUAGUGUAACCAGUGCUGAAAUUUUGAUCUUUCUGUUCUCACCUCUAAAAUGCUCCUUCUACUACCUUUUGCUUUCAGCUCAUAGCAACUCCAUUCAUUCAGAGUUAUUUUUGGCUUUUAUUAUUUUUUUCUCUAACUUGUCACAUUGCACCCAUCAAGCAAUCCAGUUUUCUUACUUUAAA